GGGUCAGUAGGUUGGUCGUGCCACCGGUACGUACUGGUCUCACUGAUUCCUCCUUCGUGAAGAACCGUAAUGCCAUUAAUUUGGUGUUGCGGGGAAACAGGACUGUUACUUUGAAAAAAUUAGAGUGUUUAAAGCAAGCUAACGCUUGAAUACAUUAGCAUGGAAUAAUGAAAUAGGACGAUCGAUCCUAUUUUGUUGGUUUCUAGGAUUGACGUA
rnacentral:rRNA from 1 species